rnacentral:rRNA from 1 species
UACGGAAGGCAGCAGUGGGGAAUAUUGCACAAUGGGCGAAAGCCUGAUGCAGCUAUGCCGCGUGUAUGAAGAAGGCCUUAGGGUUGUAAAGUACUUUCAUCGGGGAGGAAAAAACAAAACUAAUAAUUUUAUUUCUUGACGUUACCCGAAAAAGAAGCACCGGCUAACUCCGUGCCAGCAGCCGCGGUAAUACGGAGGGUGCUAGCGUUAAUCAGAAUUACUGGGCGUAAAGAGCACGUAGGUGGUUUUUUUAAGUCAGAUGUGAAAUCCCUGGGCUUAACCUAGGAACUGCAUUUUGAAACUGAAAUACUAGAGUAUCGUAGAGGGAGGUAGAAUUCUAGGUGUAGCGGUGAAAUGCGUAGAUAUCUGGAGGAAUACCUGUGGCGAAAGCGGCCUCCUAAACGAAUACUGACACUGAGGUGCGAAAGCGUUGGGGAGCAAACGAGGGAUUAGAUACC